rnacentral:rRNA from 1 species
UACGUAGGGUGCGAGCGUUAAUCGGAAUUACUGGGCGUAAAGUGUGCGCAGGCGGCAGAGCAAGUCGAGUGUGAAAGCCCCGGGCUUAACUUGGGAAUUGCGCUCGAAACUACUUUGCUGGAGUGUGGCAGAGGAAGGUGGAAUUCCACGUGUAGCGGUGAAAUGCGUAGAGAUGUGGAGGAACACCAAUGGCGAAGGCAGGGUCCUGGCUGGUACCUGACGCUCGUGGGCGAAAGCUAGGGGAGCGAACGGGG